rnacentral:rRNA from 1 species
UACGAAGGUCCCAAGCGUUGUCCGGAAUCACUGGGCGUAAAGGGUGCGUAGGCGGCGUGGUAAGUCAGAUGUGAAAUCCCGAGGCUCAACCUCGGAACUGCAUCCGAUACUGCCAUGCUUGAGGACUGGAGAGGUGACUGGAAUUCUCGGUGUAGCAGUGAAAUGCGUAGAGAUCGAGAGGAACACUCGUGGCGAAAGCGAGUCACUGGACAGUAUCUGACGCUGAUGCACGAAGGCUAGGGGAGCGAAAGGG